UGGAGAAUAAAUAAUAAGUUAUAUUGUGUUAAAUACAAAUACAAGAGGAAGAGCCUGGGUGUCUGCAGUCUACUCAUAACCCACUCAGCAGCUGGGAGGCAAUAAAUGAGCUUCAUAAUAGGAUUCAGAGAUUGAAAGUUUAAGCUGGUCAGAGCACAGGUUCACAGGGGCAGACUGUCUACUUAUUACCUGCUCAGUACCUGGGAGCCAAUAAAUGGGCUUCAUUAUACGAUACAGGGUUCAAAAGUUUAAGUUUGUCCAAUGACAAGUAUAAGAACUCUUCCUAAAUUGGCCGAGGCAAAUAAAAUGCUACUAAUCCCUCCCAAUUUAUCCAGCUUUCACUUUGUGCACUUAUUAGGACAAGCCUUCAAAAAUACGAGUUGUUUAGUAUUUUGUUGCAAGGACGUGUGAGCUUUAUUUUGAGUUUAGUGUUAUAGAAGAAUAAGAUGGAAGAAUACUGAGGAGUGUAACAAACAUCCAAACUUUUUGUUGUGCAAAGUUUAUUAACUUCCGUUUUAGAAAAAUGGACACAACUGUGUGAGUGACCAAAACGGAGAUUUAGACUAUCUUCGGGAUAGAGGGAGUAUGAACUUCCCCAUGAGAUUCAAGUUUCCCAGCUUAUAUAGCACAGAUUGAUGAUAUUCAAGGUGAUGGAAUGAAUUAUUUAGGUAACAGAUGCUUAAGGAAUCUGUUUCCUUUCACAUAGAAGGAUUCCCGCUAGUUGCCACCUCAAGACAUCACUAGAAAUCACUACACAAAAACUAUACUAUUGCCCUCAUGUGAAGAAUUUUUUGACAGGAUUCCCCUCAUGUCCACAAAUACAUUUGUGUUCUGGUGGGUGAAUGAACUGAUUCUUGUACUCGUCUAUACUCUCUGCAUCACAUGCCACAUAGAUUAGAUGGUAUACCCUACCUGCCACAACAAAUUCAAGCAAAACAAUCCACACCUCAUGAACUGGCUGAGCUCUGGAAGGGGGGUUGGCUUAUGUAGGAACUGAAGUCGAGGAAAGUUUUGCUAAAAAGAUUUUUAGGAUUGGUUGUGGGGAGGAGAGGGGAUUCUAGAGUGUUUUUGAAAGUGUUUUUCAAAAUUUUCAAGAAGUUAAAGGAUAAACGAUUGAAAAGGGAUAGAUGACGAACCAAAUUUUUACUUUGUAAAUUUAAAAUUAUAGGGUAAACAUAAAACACACUCCACUCAUUGCAAGGUACUCCUGAACAUCUACCCGGAUUCAGUCAAUCACUUAAGAGGGCUAGGGAAACCAUUGCUGACAAGCUCCAAAGGAAAACAUCUGUACCAGCCUUUACAAUAGCAGAAUUUGCUAUCAGUUGUAGGGCCAGGGAAACCAUUGCUGACAAGCUCCAAAGGAAAACAUCUGUACCAGCCUUUGUAGGGCCAGGGAAACCAUUGCUGACAAGCUCCAAAGGAAAACAUCUGUACCAGCCUUUACAAUAGCAGAAUUUGCUAUCAGUUUUUAGUUAAUGAAAAAAAUAGUACUUAUACAAGACAAUGAGAACUUUUGAUCAAUGAUUUGUUAACAUUGUAUGCUCGAAAACUCUAAUAAAUGUUGUCAGGCAUAUAAAUACUUGUAUUUUACCAUAGCCAUGAUACUCAAAUUUCUGUUAGAUCUUUUAAUAUGAAGGCAAAGUGAAUAAGCAAAAUGAAGCAAAAGCUUAAUUAUCUUAUCCUCCCCUCAAUCAGAUAAUCUACAGUGCAGAAGAUUGGUA
rnacentral:lncRNA from 1 species